GCCCUCGUGGCCUAACGGAUAAGGCAUCGGUCUCCUAAACCGGGAUUCCGGGUUCGAAUCCCGCCGAGGGUA
rnacentral:tRNA from 13 species